AACACAAUACGGAUAAAAAUAACUUUUAUAAUUAUUAAAUUUUAGUUGCAGACAAGUAUUUUAACAAAAAUAUUGCUAAUAUAACAACUUAAUAUUUAUAAUGCAAGCAGUUUUAAGCGUAAAAUAACUAUUUCGACGGUAUUUGAUAUUUAUUUUUUAAAAAUGGCUGCUGUCACAGAAGAUGAAAUCAUUCGCAGAAGAUUGCUUUUUGAUGGAGACGGAACAGGAGACGAUAAAAGAAUUGCGACUAUUAUAAGGACUAUAAUUCAAUGGAGUGUGACCAAGUGUGAUGAAGAUGAAAGAAACAUGAUGUACCAAAAAAUUAUUUCAAUGUUGCAUCAUUGUGAAUACUCUUUUCGCAAACAUCACCUUUCAUACUUAAUGAAUAUAAAAGAAAGGCAGCAUUAUGAAAGUUUAUAUGAACAUGUUGAAAAACAAAUAGAAGAAGCAAAGGAUGAAAUCAAAUUUUGUAAGGAAGAAUUAAAACGAGCUAAAGUCAUUCGAAAAAAUAAGCAAGAAUAUGAUGCUCUAGCAAAAAUUAUAGAGAAACAUCCUGACAGGAAGCAGAUAGGCUGUGAGAAUGCAAAGCUUGAAGAAGACAUUUACAAAUUAAAGGAGAGUAAAUCAUUACUUAUUGAAAAGGUGGAAAUAAAGUUGAUGGUAUGUGUUCUGCAAUGGAUUUUUUGUAGAUAUUAACAAGUUAAAAUUAUCGUUAGCUGUAUGGCCUUCAAACAUGGUAUGCUGGUUGUUUGAAGCUAUUUUGGUAGUUAUUGCAUCAUAUUCGGCCCAACUCCAGAUUCGACGAGGAUGUGAGAGUUUUGAUGCUGUUUCAAUAAACAGCCAAUAUACCAGUAAAAACAUAAUGUGAUUGACCUGCUUUUCUAAACCCUAGUGGGUCAUCUUCUGAGACUUUUAUAAAUCAUCGAUCACCACUAAUAAUCAAGUCAAGUGUUGAUGAUGGUUCAAUGAGAUAUGAAUGACGCUUGAAAUGCGCCAAAAACAAUUUCUUGUUCUUAUAUAUUCCAUUCAGCUUCUUCAAGAAGUUCUUCAAGAAGACCACGAUGUAACAAACGAAAACAAACCACCGACUAUUGAAGUGAUGGAUCUAACAUAGUGUUUGAAAACCUUUGACAUUAUCACUUGGAAUAUUUUUAAAAAUAUUCGAAUUUACUGGUUUUUGAUGGAACGCUUUAGUUCGUUAAUUAA